rnacentral:rRNA from 1 species
ACUCCUACGGGAGGCAGCAGUGGGGAAUAUUGGACAAUGGGGGCAACCCUGAUCCAGCAAUGCCGCGUGAGUGAUGAAGGCCUUAGGGUUGUAAAGCUCUUUCAACUGUGAAGAUGAUGACGGUAACAGUAGAAGAAGCUCCGGCUAACUCCGUGCCAGCAGCCGCGGUAAUACGGAGGGAGCUAGCGUUGUUCGGAAUUACUGGGCGUAAAGAGUACGUAGGCGGCUUUGUAAGUUAGGAGUGAAAUCCCCGGGCUCAACCUGGGAACUGCUCUUAAGACUGCAGAGCUUGAGGACGAGAGAGGAAAGUGGAAUUCCUAGUGUAGAGGUGAAAUUCGUAGAUAUUAGGAAGAACACCAGUGGCGAAGGCGACUUUCUGGCUCGUAACUGACGCUGAGGUACGAAAGCGUGGGGAGCAAACAGGAUUAGAUACCCUGGUAGGCUCUGC